rnacentral:rRNA from 1 species
UACGGGGGGGGCAAGCGUUGUUCGGAAUUACUGGGCGUAAAGGGCUCGUAGGCGGCCAACUAAGUCAGACGUGAAAUCCCUCGGCUUAACCGGGGAACUGCGUCUGAUACUGGAUGGCUUGAGUUUGGGAGAGGGAUGCGGAAUUCCAGGUGUAGCGGUGAAAUGCGCAGAUAUCGGGAGGAACACCAAUGGCGAAGGCAGCUCGCUGGGACGGUACUGACGCUGAGGCGCGAAAGCGUGGGGAGCAAACAGG